rnacentral:rRNA from 1 species
AUUGAACGCUGGCGGCAUGCUUUACACAUGCAAGUCGAACGGUAACAGGUUAAGCUGACGAGUGGCGAACGGGUGAGUAAUGCAUCGGAACGUGCCCGAUCGUGGGGGAUAACGCAGCGAAAGCUGCGCUAAUACCGCAUACGAUCUGAGGAUGAAAGCGGGGGACCGUAAGGCCUCGCGCGAUCGGAGCGGCCGAUGUCAGAUUAGGUAGUUGGUGGGGUAAAGGCCCACCAAGCCGACGAUCUGUAGCUGGUCUGAGAGGACGACCAGCCACACUGGGACUGAGACACGGCCCAGACUUCUACGGGGGGCAGCAGUGGGGAAUUUUGGACAAUGGGCGAAAGCCUGAUCCAGCAAUGCCGCGUGCAGGAAGAAGGCCUUCGGGUUGUAAACUGCUUUUGUACGGAGCGAAAAGGUCCUUUCUAAUACAAGGGGCUCAUGACGGUACCGUAAGAAUAAGCACCGGCUAACUACGUGCCAGCCGCCGCCGUAAUAC